UACGUAGGUGGCAAGCGUUGUCCGGAUUUAUUGGGUUUAAAGGGUGCGUAGGCGGUUUUAUAAGUCAGUGGUGAAAUACGGCAGCUUAGCUGUCGAGGUGCCAUUGAUACUGUAGGACUAGAGUACUGUUGAGGUAGGCGGAAUGGACGGUGUAGCGGUGAAAUGCUUAGAUAUCGUCCAGAACACCGAUAGCGAAGGCAGCUUACUAAAGAGUAACUGACGCUGAGGCACGAAAGUGUGGGGAUCAAACAGG
rnacentral:rRNA from 1 species